AUUGUUGGCUUGCCUGUAUUGUCAUUGGCUGCGUGGUGUGCCAUCAUCGGUCGUGACGUUGUGGGAAGAGCGCAGAGAGGCGGAGAAACGAAGUCGGGGAAACAGAUUAAAAACCAAGGCUGGUGCCCCUGCCUCGGUUUGUCAGUACUGCGAGAAAACUUAAUUACCGAAAGAGCCUGCAUGCUAAAACAGGCUUUGAAGCUGCUUUUUUUGUCUAACACGAGGGAGGCUCGACGCUGAACACACCGGCGGCGCGAAGGUGUCACCAGAGAGAUUGUUGAGACAUUGUUGAGGAUGACGGAGACAUUGUCCACGAUCAGAGACAUUGUCCAUGACUCGCACAGACAUGUGCAAAAGUCUGGCAUUGCCCGGAUUCAGAGAGACAUUAUCGAUGAUCACAGAGACACAGCCUAUGAUCUCAGAGACGUAGUCCAUGAUCGCAGAGAGUCUGCAUACAAUAAAGGAGUUCUUUGAGACCAGGACAGAGGCCUCUAGGUGUCACCACUUCAUCCACGACAUCAUCCACGAUCGCAGAGACAUGGUCCAUGAUCGGAGAGACAUUGUUGAGGAUGAGGGAGACAUCGUCCACGAUCAGGGACAUUGUCCGUGAUCACAGAGACCUUGUCAAAGAUGAGAGAGACGUUGUCCGUGAUCAGAGACAUUGUCCGUGCUUCGUAGAGACCUUGCGAUAGAAUCGGCGGAGACGGGGGUCACCGAUUUGACGGCACUGCCCGCGAUCAGGGACAUUGUUAAUGAUCACAGAGACACCGUCGAUGAUCUCAGAGACAUCGUCCACGAUCACAAUGACACAGGCCAUGAUCGCAGAGACUUUGUCCAUAAUCUCAGAGACAUUGUCUGCGAUCACAGACGUAGUCCACGAUCACAGAGAGUCUUCGUACAAUGAAGAAGUUCUUUGAGACCAGGACAGAGGCCUCCAGGUGUCACCACUUCAUCCACGACAUCGUCCACGAUCGCAGAGACAUGGUCCAUGAUCGGAGAGACAUUGUUGAGGAUGAGGGAGACAUCGUCCACGAUCAGGGACAUUGUCCGUGAUCACAGAGACCUUGUCAAAGAUGAGAGAGACGUUGUCCGUGAUCAGAGACAUUGUCCGUGCUUCGUAGAGACCUUGCAAUAGAAUCGGCGGAGACGGGGGUCACCGAUUUGACGGCACUGCCCGCGAUCAGGGACAUUGUUAAUGAUCACAGAGACACCGUCGAUGAUCUCAGAGACAUCGUCCACGAUCACAAUGACACAGGCCAUGAUCGCAGAGACUUUGUCCAUAAUCUCAGAGACAUUGUCUGCGAUCACAGACGUAGUCCACGAUCACAGAGAGUCUUCGUACAAUGAAGAAGUUCUUUGAGACCAGGACAGAGGCCUCCAGGUGUCACCACUUCACCCACGACAUCGUCCACGAUCGCAGAGACAUGGUCCAUGAUCGGAGAGACAUUGUUGAGGAUGAGGGAGACAUCGUCCACGAUCAGGGACAUUGUCCGUGAUCACAGAGACCUUGUCAAAGAUGAGAGAGACGUUGUCCGUGAUCAGAGACAUUGUCCGUGCUUCGUAGAGACCUUGCGAUAGAAUCGGCGGAGACGGGGGUCACCGAUUUGACGGCACUGCCCGCGAUCAGGGACAUUGUUAAUGAUCACAGAGACACCGUCGAUGAUCUCAGAGACAUCGUCCACGAUCACAAUGACACAGGCCAUGAUCGCAGAGACUUUGUCCAUAAUCUCAGAGACAUUGUCUGCGAUCACAGACGUAGUCCACGAUCACAGAGAGUCUUCGUACAAUGAAGAAGUUCUUUGAGACCAGGACAGAGGCCUCCAGAAGGAGAGGACAUCAGCAGCUGAAGACCUGUAGCGGAUGAAAGAAAACAGAAGUGUUAUGAAGCUGUUGGAAAAAAGACCUCCACCAUCUAACUGCUGCAAACAGUGUUUCCUGUUGUUCAAGUGAAAACACUUUUUUCUGUUUUUCUUUACCAUCUGUAAUGUAGUCAUGAGCACAUUUUCCACAGACUAAGAUGUUCUUAUUAAACACCUGUGAGAACGUUCAACUGCUUAUGAUACAACUUUAAGUAAUAAUUGUAUCACAAAGACGCUUUGUAGACAUGUUCGUCUUUGGAAAAUGUGUUCAUUAACCCUAACUCUAACAAGUGUUUCCUUGUGGUCAAAUGUCUAUCUUUGCUGUGAUUUGUUAAA